rnacentral:rRNA from 1 species
GAUGAACGCUGGCGGCGUGCUUAACACAUGCAAGUCGAACGAAGCACUUAAGAUUGAUUCUUCGGAUGACGUCUUUUGUGACUUAGUGGCGGACGGGUGAGUAACGCGUGGGUAACCUGCCUCACACAGGGGGAUAACAGUUAGAAAUGACUGCUAAUACCGCAUAACCCGAUAGGAUCGCAUGAUCCAGACGGAAAAGAUUUAUCGGUGUGAGAUGGACCCGCGUCUGAUUAGCUAGUUGGUGAGGUAACGGCCCACCAAGGCGACGAUCAGUAGCCGGCCUGAGAGGGUGAACGGCCACAUUGGGACUGAGACACGGCCCAAACUCCUCCGGGAGGCAGCAGUGGGGAAUAUUGCACAAUGGGGGAAACCCUGAUGCAGCGACGCCGCGUGAGUGAAGAAGUAUUUCGGUAUGUAAAGCUCUAUCAGCAGGGAAGAAAAUGACGGUACCUGACUAAGAAGCCCCGGCUAACUACGUG